rnacentral:misc_RNA from 1 species
AAAUUGCAACCUUCCAAGAUGGCGGAUUUGUGAAAAUUGACAGAAAGUUACUGGAAAAUACUGACAAUUUACCGUUGGUUCAAGUUGUCAUUAAAUGAUGAUAUGUAGAUACAUACAAAACAAAUGAUGAUGGGUAGGAGAGGCUGGAUAGGUUUAGCUGUGGUAUUGUUUCUGGCAACAUUUGGUAUAUAUGGCAUCUCCUUUGUCUUUUACGUGAUACUUACAGUUGUAGGAGCUCUUGUGGUUGCCUACUACUUUGGAAUGGAAGAAUCUACAGAGAGGCUGAAGGAAUGGAAAAAUAUACCAUUGUAUUCCCCAGGCAUUCAAGUGGUGAAGGUAAAAAUGGAAGGUUCGUUUAAAAUCAAGAAAAUGGAUAAAAGAAUUACCGGCUCCAGUGUGAUUGAUGAAGCUUUACAAUCUGUGAUGGAAUAUGCAUCUAGAGAUUAUAUAAAAAACUGGUAUCGAGAGGUCAGUGAUGACGACCUUUUCUUACUGGAAAUACAGCAAUGUGUUCAAAAAGUGUUCAUCACAUUUUCACAACGAUCAAAAGAUGUUGAUUGGAUGCCAUAUUUUACACACAGAAUGGUUGAUGAUUUAGCAUCUCAUAUACGACUUUAUACCAGAGCUAUGGAAAAAGCAAAGGUGGCCAAUAAAGAUGAGAGAGGUCCAUUAUUGGAGCAGAAUUUUUUUGACCUUGAAAUCAAAAUGGAGGGAGAUAUAUGUAGGGACUUGGUGUCUUUGUCUCCGGAAGAUGAAAGACAAUAUUUACAAGACCUGAGUGAUGUACUUUUAUUUCUUCUCCUACCUACAGAGGAUUACAACAACAAACCUUUUAGAUAUAUAAUCAGAGAAGUGUUAGUGAAUGGUAUAUUUAUACCAACCAUAGAUCUCAUAUCAGAUCCUGAUUACAUCAAUACAUAUAUAGCUUGGAUGUGUAAAGAAGGAUCAUUGAUCAAUGAAAUGUUUAUGUUUGUGAUAAAGACUACAGAUUCUAUAGACGAGCUAGCCUCUGUUAUAGAACAAUUAGACUGUGAUAUUGCAAAAUGGCGCUCAAAGGAUACUGGAGGUAGUGAUGAUUCUUUGAUCAAACAGAACUUGAAAAGUUUACGAUAUGUGAAGUCAAUGUGCCAGGAGAAGAUCAAACGUCUUCAGCAAGGUAUAGAUGACACAGAGUUUGCCCCAGACGUUCCUGAUUACUGCCGAUCCAGAUCUCUUUUUGUUUUAUCCUUCGAUGACAUAAUCAACAAUAACAUAGCAUUAACUGUUUUCAUAGAAUUCUUGACCAGUGUUGGUGGUGAAAGUUUGAUAUAUUUCUAUUUGAAUGUAGAGAGUUUCCGAACUACUGCUGAACUACAGCUGAAGGUGAUCAACUGUAACAUGGAAAAUCCAAAUAUAUCAAAGUCUCACCAGGACCUGGAACCACUCAGAAAAGCAGCUAUACUCAUUUACAAUCAGUAUUUAUCAGAGAAAGCCCCAUCAAGGAUCAGAAUAGAGCAGGACAUACUGAAGAGAUGCCUGGGAAAUAUCAAAAGUAAAUACAUAUCAUCUGAAGCUUUUGAUGAAGUACAAGCAAGGGUGUACCAGUUACUACAUGAUAAGGAUUAUUAUGAAUCAUUUAUUGAGAGCCCAGUAUACCUGAAACUUCUUGAAGAUCUGGGAUUCUCCAGUGACAAAAAUGACAACUCCAAAAGUCUUAGUAUGGAGGAUGAUAUGUCCGUCAAGUCUGAAGAUAUUAAUGAUCUGACCGACUCGUCUGAUAAUACAUCGACAUCCUCUCUGUACAGCAGUAACUCGCGAUCAAAUUCUCCAUACAAAACAAACAACGCAGAAUUCUCUAUAAAGGCUCAAAUUUCACAGACAGGCGUUGUUCGAGAAUCAGAGAAGGCAGGGAAGUCCUACGCAGUAUUUUCAAUCCGGGUGACAAAAAAGCUUGUAGAUGAUGAGGAGAUUUGGGACGUCUAUCGAAGAUUCAGCGACUUCCACGACCUACAGAUGAUCAUGUCAGAAAAGUUGCCACAUUUUCAUGGACCAAGUUUACCACCUAAAACAUUGCUAAAGAAUACUGGAAAAGAAUUUCUGGAGAAAAGAAGAAAAGCUCUGGAUAAUUACCUACAGACUUUGCUAUCCCCACAACUUUGGGAACAACAUCCACGUGUCAAGGAGUUUGUCUUGAAGUUUCUGGCACCAGGCAUGUGGGAACGACACAAAAGUGAUUUAGCAAGAAAGAUGGACACAAUAGUUAAUCCACUGAAAAGUGUUGGCCAUGCUGUGAUACAGAUGCCUGAAAAUAUCAAAAAUAUUUCACAAGAUGGGCUUUCAAGGUUAAGAGGGGACUCAUUCAAGGGAUCAGGAAGUUCAUUGAAUCAGGGAACCAAAGUUGGAGCUGGGCUGGACCUAGAGAUUGGUGAAAACAUUCCACUGCGCAUCAUGCUUUUACUCAUGGAUGAAGUAUUUGAUUUGAGACAGAAGAAUCAGUGGCUGCGCCGACAGAUAGUUCGUGUUCUCAAACAACUCAUUAAAUCCAUUCUUGGUGACAGGAUGAACAAGUAAAAAAAUAGUUGAACAUGUUGACUGGAUGACCUCUGCAGAGCAGGUUGCUGAGUACAUCAAAGCCUUCAGGGAUUCAUUUUGGCCGGAGGGUGUAUUAUCAGAGCCCAGACCAGAC